rnacentral:rRNA from 1 species
AUUGAACGCUGGCGGCAAGCCUAACACAUGCAAGUCGAACGAGUGGCGGACGGGUGAGUAAUGUCUGGGAAACUGCCUGAUGGAGGGGGAUAACUACUGGAAACGGUAGCUAAUACCGCAUACCAUCGGAUGUGCCCAGAUGGGAUUAGCUAGUUGGUGGGGCAAAGGCUCACCUAGGCGACGAUCCCUGGCUGGUCUGAGAGGAUGACCGGCCACACGGGAACUGGGACACGGUCCAGACUCCUACGGUAGGCAGCAGUGGGGAAUAUUGCACAAUGGGCGCAAGCCUGAGGCAGCCAUGCCGCGUGUAUGAAGAGGGCCUUCGGGUUGUAAAGUACUUUCAGCGGGGAGGCGUUACCCGCAGAAGAAGCACCGGCUAACUCCGUGCCAGCCGCCGCGGUAAUUC